UGUUUUAGGCAAAAGCUGGUGGAUUUCACCCUGGCCGGGCGAGCCUUCAUAGCUGCAUCACUCCCCGUGGUCCUGAUACCAAAACAUAUGAGGCUACCAUUGCACUUGGAAAUGAAGGGGGUCCACAUAAAAUAGCUGAUACCAUGGCUUUUAUGUUCGAGUCUUGCUUAAUACCCCGAGUAUGUCCAUGGGCACUUGAAUCUCCAUUUAUGGAUCACGACUAUUACCGUUGUUGGAUCGGUUUGAAGUCUCACUUCUCAGACUAUCUCGUGAAUGAAGACAACCGCGAUUUGCGUAAUGGAAAACCUAUAGAAAGGUGAAAUGCUGAUCGUUCAGGCUAGCUUUUGUAGUUCCUCCUAAAGUGACUUAGCUUGUACAUAAGGUGUUACGGGCAUGUAAAAUGUAAAAAACACUACAUUUGUAUCGGAUCAAAAGAUUAGGAUGGCAAUUCCAGUGCAGAUACGGUGCUAAGAUGAAACUAAUGUUCUAUGAAAUUGGUACCACUUGCACAGUAAGUAGAAAUGUAUUACCAUGAUGCUGUUGUAGUAGUUUUUAUGGUGUUGUAUAUAUAAAGAUGGAACUAUCGUGGAAUACUUCUAGCAAUUGCAAUAACAAUGAGUUAUUUGACAAUA